AAAGAAAUUUAAAUUAGAGAUAUAAUUUGAAUCAAUUUCCUCAUUUGUCUGUGUUUCAGAUGAGAUAUGGUUCUACCACUUAGAGAAGUAACAUUUACUGGAAGAAUCUGAGUCUUUUUAGAUCCCAAAAUACAAAACCAACUAGAGAAUCAUCUCAUUCCAAUUACAGGUUUGUCGAUUUCAAACAUGUAAAUUGUUUUCAAUCCAGUGGUGGAGUAGAACAUUUUGAUACACGAAUACUUGAAAUUAGAAGUUUUUAUACAGUAUCUUUUUGAGGUCAUUAGUUUCUUCAACUCUUGUGGGUGAAAGGUAACCAAAAGAAAGUCUUCAACACAAAUUCCGAUAUUUUCAAUCACUGAUUUAUAUAGAUAAUAUAUGCAAAAGUUCCUUUACAAUCUAUGGUUGCCAGAUUUGAGAUUCUUUGUUGAGGUAAAAUGAAAUCAGAUUGCGAUUGCAAUAUCAUAAAAUUUUCCUUAUCCAGCUGCAUGUAGGCAUAUUUGACAUACUUUUUAUAUUUAAACUCUUAGUAAAUGGUAAUCCUAGAUCAUCUUUGAUUCGCAGGAUCAAGCUGCCCUCAUCAGCACAAGACUGACUUAGCCCUUAAGGUAGUUCAUCUGGUAUAAAUGAAGAGGAUGAUGGCAGUGGAUUCUCCUGUCUACAUAUGUGUAAUUAACUCUCUGCAUUGAUUGGAAAGCUGAAAGCCAGUAAAAUUCUAUUUUUCAAAAAGAGGUCAGAAUUCAUGUAAAAAGGAAACGAUGAGUGUAAAACCAAGUAAUGGACCUCUACAUAUCAUUGCUGAGGCACUACAACUCUCUUAAUAAAGUAUG